GGGGUUGUGGCUCGGUGGUAGAGCGCUCACCUAGCACAUGGGAGGCAUUGGAUUCAAACCUCAGCCCCA
rnacentral:tRNA from 1 species